GGACCCGCACAAGUAGUGGAGCAUGUGGUUUAAUUCGAAGAUACGCGCAGAACCUUACCAACACUUGACAUGUUCGUCGCGACUCUAAGAGAUUAGAGUUUUCGGUUCGGCCGGACGAAACACAGGUGCUGCAUGGCUGUCGUCAGCUCGUGUCGUGAGAUGUUGGGUUAAGUCCCGCAACGAGCGCAACCCUCACUUUUAGUUGCCAUCAUUUAGUUGGGCACUCUGAAAGAACUGCCAGUGAUAAGCUGGAGGAAGGUGGGGAUGACGUCAAGUCCUCAUGGCCCUUACGGGCUGGGCUACACACGUGCUACAAUGGCGGUGACAGCGGGAAGCAAAGGGGCGAACCUGGAG
rnacentral:rRNA from 1 species